UCUUUACUAACUUCUUGAUUUUUAUUCUCUUAAGCUUACUCGCUUCUUACUUAAUAUAUUUCUCUUACUUACUUAAUUCAUCUUCUUACUUGCUUAUUUUAUUUACUUUAUUAUUUUUUGCUUUUUUUUAUCUCUGCUUCUUAUUCUACUUAUUCGGUUCAUAUCCUUUCCUGCUUGCUUCUUCCUCUACUUACUUCCUCUUUAUUUGUUUCUCAUUCUUACUGUUACCACUUAUUUGUUAUUUUACUUGCAAAUUAUUCUACUUACUCGCUUCAUAAUUCUUCUUUCUUACUUCUUUACUCUGAUCGCAUGUCUGCGCUGGGCCCUCGUUGUGUGCCUCCUGUCCUCUACAUAAAAGUCCGGUAUUUGCAUGAUUAUACGUUCAUGAAGCAGUAUUCUUAGAAGCUUCCUCACCCGCGGCCCAGUUUUAUUUUCAGCUCUCUCCUCACGACCCGGCUACAAGGUUCUGUAAUAUUAAUAGCAAUGCAGUACUUUCCGCCGCCUGGUAUUUGAUCAUCUAUUAUUAAAGUGAUGACCCACAUAGUUUGUAGUCUAUCGCGAUUCUCACUUUGAAGACGCUUGCAUCUGAGGGACUGAAUACCAUUUUUAAGGUGACUAGUUGGGUGAUGCGUAUAAGAGGCGCGUUGAUGCAUGCAAUAUUAGUGAAUGCAGUGAAGCGAUCGUUACCAUUGCCUUGAAAAUCGAUGUAAUGAAAAUUCUAUGCUGUCUUUUCUUUAUUUACUCUUAUGAUUUAAUGACAGAGUAGGUAUUGCUGGUGUUUUUUAUGUAGAUAGUGAUUUAAGACUCGAUAUAUUGAGCUUUCUUGGGAACGUAUUUCAGGGCAAGGUCUUUUCUUUACUCUUAUGAUUUAAUGACAGAGUAGAUAUUGCUGGUGUUUUUUAUGUAGAUAGUGAUUUGACUCGAUAUAUUGAACUUUCUUGGGAACGUAUCUCAGGGCAAGGUCAUACACGCACAGCGGAAGCACCUUUAUUCAAUAACCAGUUCGCUGCCACACGCACGUGACUGUAUAUAGCCGGGCUGAGGCUGAGCACAGGUUAUCAGGACACCUCUCCUCCCGAAAUUGACCUCUCUUUCGGCCACCUCUUUUGAUUCUUUUUUUUUUUAGGAGCAACGAGUAGCGGGCUUUUUUAUUAUUGUUUCCUUUUUUUGUGCCUUUGAGCUGUCUUCUUUGUUGUAAAAAAAAAAAAAAAUCUUGCCCUCCUUCCCCUAUCCUCAAGUCCUCCUCCAUACAGCAGUUACAGCGGUAGGGAAGUUAAGGAAGAAGUUAGUUGUAGUUCUGUUAGUAUUCCUCCUUGCAGAAAAGAAAUAAAGUCAAGAACGAAAGUAAGAAAUGAAGAAAAAGACAUAAAAACGAAGUGAUGUCUGUUUAUUUAGGGAGAGAAGUUAAGGUAGGGAAGUUAAGGAAGAAGUUAGUUGUAGUUCUGUUAGUAUUCCUCCUUGCAGAAAAGAAAUAAAGUCAAGAACGAAAGUAAGAAAUGAGGAAAAACACAAAAAAAAAGGAAGUGAUGUCUGUUUAUUUAGGGAGAGAAGUUAAGGAAGAAGUUAGUUGUAGUUCUGUUAGUAUUCCUCCUUGCAGAAAAGAAAUAAAGUCAAGAACGAAAGUAAGAAAUGAGGAAAAACACAAAAAAAAGGAAGUGAUGUCUGUUUAUUUAGGGAGAGAAAAAAUAAUGAUAAAUCUGUUAGAGUAGAAAAACGAAAGUGAUGAGUUCUGAUAAAAAGGAGAAAAAAGGGAUGAAUCUGUUAGUAGAAAGUAAAAGGAAAAAAGUUAUAUUUAGUAUGUUAGGAUUCCUCCCUGCUGGUAUACCUCCUGCUCUACUUUCUUCAUUGCAUCCUCGUCUUGUCCCCGCAGAGCAAUUACAGCGGAUAUCAAAUAAUUAAGGAAGAAAUUAGUGACAAGUCAAUAAGUAUUCCGUCGCGCAGGCAUGUGGGCAAAAACUCCAAACUCAUACUUUCUUCAUUGCAUCCUCGUCUUGUCCCCGCAGAGCAAUUACAGCGGCAAUCAAAUAAGGAAGAAAUUAGUGAUAAAUCGAUUAGUAUUCCGUCAAGCAGGCAUGUGGGCAAAAAAUAUUAAAAAACUCGCAAGACUAAUGUAGCUGCCAGUUGCAAGGGUUCGCGAUACGGUACAGGUGCACGAAUCAUCGUCUCUUGAAUCAACGUCACUCAUACAGAACAGAUGAUUACAUAGAACGUUGGCCAGCCUUCAAGGUGACGCGCAUGUAUUGAUUGUUCUGAAGAAUAAGAAAUAAUCAAAUAAUCAAAUCAUUAACAGCGAAAGGAAGAAAAAAUCGAGAGACUGGAGAGUAAAACGCCAUUAGCUGGAGUUUCAUUUUCUCCAAAGACCUUAUUUUUAAAUGUAUCGGCACUUCAGUUCGCCCGUUUGAAUAGCCUCUCGUAAAAGUUGCUGAAAUUUUCAUGGACUGUUUUGUGAUCCUAGUGAUAGUUUUACACGACUUUUGCACCAUGAACGGAAAAAUUAACUCAAGCUCAACCGGUCAAUCCUCUGUGGCCUUGGGGAAUGGUCGUAAUGAGAGCUCGAUACGUUCAAGAAUAAGGACCCGAGGUGUUUCGAAGCGUGUUGGAUGGGAUGAACGCGAACCCCUUGACGCCUUCCUCGCUAAGCAUUCUCUAGGCCGCCCCACACCCAGCGGCCCCCGGCGUGUGGGAGGUGGUGGUCCGUCCGUCACCCCGCCGCUCCAGUCCUUCAGGAUCACCGCGGACGCCACAGGACUCUUGGUGCAGGUGUUGAGAACGCAGCUGGUCUCCCUGUGGCUUGGUACAAGAUGAAGUGAGGCAGCCAGAAUAACUCCACCCUACUGUGUGUACAAUAUUAUUGCUUCUAAUCAGUUGUGCACGCGAGGCGAAGCUGGUUCAACUCUGCCCCGGCUGUCGAGGUCCAAGUGACUGGCACCGCCCAACCUCCGUCCACAAUAGAUCCGAUGCGGUGUGUCCUGUCGAAUGACAACAGUUCAACUUGCCACUUGUAGCCUACCAGCCUGGACGAAGAGAGCAGCCUUCCACCUGCACGGAGGAAACUGUUGAGCGAUAACGUGCCACGCCAGCUGUCACUCGGGGUGUUUCUUGUCGUUCCGAAACGUGAGCUGUAUUUGGAUCCAAUAAAUUGUUAGGGAGAA